AGAGUUUGAUCCUGGCUCAGAUUGAACGCUGGCGGAAUGCUUUACACAUGCAAGUCGAGCGGCAGCGCGGGGGCAACCCUGGCGGCGAGCGGCGAACGGGUGAGUAACACAUCGGAACGUACCCAGUAAUGGGGGAUAACUAACCGAAAGGUUAGCUAAUACCGCAUACGCCCUACGGGGGAAAGCGGGGGAUCGCAAGACCUCGCGUUAUUGGAGCGGCCGAUGUCGGAUUAGCUAGUUGGUGAGGUAAAGGCUCACCAAGGCGACGAUCCGUAGCGGGUCUGAGAGGACGGCCCGCCACACUGGAACUGAGACACGGUCCAGACUCCUACGGGAGGCAGCAGUGGGGAAUUUUGGACAAUGGGCGCAAGCCUGAUCCAGCCAUUCCGCGUGAGUGAAGAAGGCCUUCGGGUUGUAAAGCUCUUUCGGCAGGAACGAAACGGUUUGGGCUAAUACCCUGAGCUAAUGACGGUACCUGAAGAAGAAGCACCGGCUAACUACGUGCCAGCAGCCGCGGUAAUACGUAGGGUGCGAGCGUUAAUCGGAAUUACUGGGCGUAAAGCGUGCGCAGGCGGUUUUGUAAGACAGAUGUGAAAUCCCCGGGCUCAACCUGGGAACUGCGUUUGUGACUGCAAGACUCGAGUGUGGCAGAGGGGGGUGGAAUUCCACGUGUAGCAGUGAAAUGCGUAGAGAUGUGGAGGAACACCGAUGGCGAAGGCAGCCCCCUGGGUCAACACUGACGCUCAUGCACGAAAGCGUGGGUAGCAAACAGGAUUAGAUACCCUGGUAGUCC
rnacentral:rRNA from 1 species